rnacentral:rRNA from 1 species
CCUGGAGGAAGGUGGGGAUGACGUCAAAUCAUCAUGCCCCUUAUGCUUAGGGCUACACACGUGCUACAAUGGGUAGUACAGAGGGUUGCCAAGCCGUAAGGCGGAGCUAAUCCCUUAAAGCUACUCUUAGUUCGGAUUGUAGGCUGAAACUCGCCUACAUGAAGCUGGAGUUACUAGUAAUCGCAGAUCAGAAUGCUGCGGUGAAUGCGUUCCCGGGUCUUGUACACAC